AAGUCGUAACAAGGUUUCCGUAGGUGAACCUGCGGAAGGAUCAUUAAAGAGUUAGGGUCCCAGUGGUCCAACCUCCAACCCUCUGUUGUUAUAACUACUUCGUUGCUUUGGCGGACGUUCCGGUCCUCGAGCGCACCAGUCUUCGGACAUGGUGAGCGCCGCCGGCAGCGUCCAAACCAAACUCUUGUUUUUUAAACCAAGUCGUCUGAGUAUAAAAUUUUAAUUAAAUUAAAA
rnacentral:misc_RNA from 1 species